rnacentral:rRNA from 1 species
UAGAUAUCAGGAGGAACAUCGGUGGCGUAAGCGCUUUACUGGGCCGUAAUUGACACUGAGGAACGAAAGCCGGGGUAGCAAAUGGGAUUAGAUACCCCAGUAGUCCCGGCCGUAAACGAUGGAUACUAGGUGUUGCGGGUAUCGACCCCUGCAGUGCCGUAGCCAACGCGUUAAGUAUCCCGCCUGGGGAGUACGCACGCAAGUGUGAAACUCAAAGGAAUUGACGGGGACCCGCACAAGCGGUGGAACAUGUGGUUUAAUUCGAAGCAACGCGAAGAACCUUACCAGGGCUUGACAUCUAACAAAUCUUGAUGAAAGUCGAGAGUGCCUUUCGGGGAAUGUUAAGACAGGUGGUGCACGGUUGUCGUCAGCUCGUGUCGUGAGAUGUUGGGUUAAGUCCCGCAACGAGCGCAACCCACGUUGUUAGUUGCAUAUUGAGGCGAGCUUCAAUACUGCUCUCUAGCGAGACUGCCGGUGAUAAACCGGAGGAAGGUGUGGACGACGUCAAAUCAUCAUGCCCCUUAUGCUCUGGGCUACACACGUGUUACAAUGGGUGGAACAGCGAGCAGCGAACCUGCGAGGGUAAGCAAAUCUCUAAAAACCAUCCUCAGUUCGGAUUGCACUCUGCAACUCGAGUGCAUGAAGUCGGAAUCGCUAGUAAACGCAGAUCAGCACGCUGCGUUGAAUACGUUCCCGGGUCUUGUACACACCGCCCGUCACACCAUGGAAGUCGACCACGCCCGAAGUACGUGAGCUAACCGUGAGGGAGCAGCGUCCUAAGGCAGGGUUGGUGACUGGGGUGAAGUCGUAACAAGGUAACCA